AUUGAACGCUGGCGGCAUGCUUUAUACAUGCAAGUCGUGCGGCAGCGCGGGGGCAACUCUGGCGGCGAGCGGCGAACGGGUGAGUAAUACAUAGGAACGUAUCCUGAAAUGGGGGAUAGCUCGGCGAAAGCCGGAUUAAUACCGCAUACGCUCCACGGAGGAAAGCAGGGGAUCGCAAGACCUUGCGUUUCUGGAGCGGCCUAUGUCUGAUUAGCUAGNGGCGGGGUAAUAGCCCACCAAGGCGACGAUCAGUAGCUGGUCUGAGAGGAUGAUCAGCCACACUGGGACUGAGACACGGCCCAGACUCCUACGGAAGGCAGCAGUAGGGAAUUUUGGACAAUGGGGGCAACCCUGAUCCAGCCAUG
rnacentral:rRNA from 1 species